AAUAUUGCGCAAUGGGGGAAACCCUGACGCAGCAACGCCGCGUGAGCGAUGAAGGCCUUCGGGUCGUAAAGCUCUGUCUGGAGGGAUGAAAAAAAUGACAGUACCUCCGGAGGAAGCCCCGGCUAACUACGUGCCAGCAGCCGCGGUAAUACGUAGGGGGCAAGCGUUGUCCGGAAUUACUGGGCGUAAAGGGCGCGUAGGCGGUCUUGUAAGUCAGAUGUGAAAGUCCAGGGCUCAACCGUGGAAUUGCAUUUGAAACUAUAAGACUUGAGUGCAGGAGAGGAGAGCGGAAUUCCUAGUGUAGCGGUGAAAUGCGUAGAGAUUAGGAAGAACACCAGUGGCGAAGGCGGCUCUCUGGACUGUAACUGACGCUGAGGCGCGAAAGCGUGGGGAGCGAACAG
rnacentral:rRNA from 1 species